GACGAACGCUGGCGGCGUGCUUAACACAUGCAAGUCGAACGGAAAGGCCCUGCUUUUGUGGGGUGCUCGAGUGGCGAACGGGUGAGUAACACGUGAGUAACCUGCCCUUGACUUUGGGAUAACUUCAGGAAACUGGGGCUAAUACCGGAUAGGAGCUCCUGCUGCAUGGUGGGGGUUGGAAAGUUUCGGCGGUUGGGGAUGGACUCGCGGCUUAUCAGCUUGUUGGUGGGGUAGUGGCUUACCGAGGCUGUGACGGGUAGCCGGCCUGAGAGGGUGACCGGCCCCAUUGGGAGCGAGGGACGGCCCAGACUGCUACGGGAGGCAUCAGUGGGGCAUAGUCCACCAUGGGCGGAAGCCUGACGCCGCAACGCCGCGUGCGGGAUGACGGCCCUCGGGUGGCAUACCGCUUGGGCCUGGGACGGCGCGUGAGUGCCGCCAACGGGUAUGGAAGGACCGGAGAAUCACCUG
rnacentral:rRNA from 1 species